UUAAUCGGAAUUACUGGGCGUAAAGCGCAUGCAGGUGGUUUGUUAAGUCAGAUGUGAAAGCCCGGGGCUCAACCUCGGAAUUGCAUUUGAAACUGGCAAACUAGAGUACUGUAGAGGGGGGUAGAAUUUCAGGUGUAGCGGUGAAAUGCGUAGAGAUCUGAAGGAAUACCGGUGGCGAAGGCGGCCCCCUGGACAGAUACUGACACUCAGAUGCGAAAGCGUGGGGAGCAAACAGGAUUAGAUACCCUGGUAGUCCACGCCGUAAACGAUGUCUACUUGGAGGUUGUGGCCUUGAGCCGUGGCUUUCGGAGCUAACGCGUUAAGUAGACCGCCUGGGGAGUACGGUCGCAAGAUUAAAACUCAAAUGAAUUGACGGGGGCCCGCACAAGCGGUGGAGCAUGUGGUUUAAUUCGAUGCAACGCGAAGAACCUUACCUACUCUUGACAUCUACAGAAGCCAGCGGAGACGCAGGUGUGCCUUCGGGAACUGUAAGACAGGUGCUGCAUGGCUGUCGUCAGCUCGUGUUGUGAAAUGUUGGGUUAAGUCCCGCAACGAGCGCAACCCUUAUCCUUGUUUGCCAGCACUUCGGGUGGGAACUCCAGGGAGACUGCCGGUGAUAAACCGGAGGAAGGUGGGGACGACGUCAAGUCAUCAUGGCCCUUACGAGUAGGGCUACACACGUGCUACAAUGGCGCAUACAGAGGGCGGCCAACUUGCGAAAGUGAGCGAAUCCCAAAAAGUGCGUCGUAGUCCGGAUUGGAGUCUGCAACUCGACUCCAUGAAGUCGGAAUCGCUAGUAAUCGUGGAUCAGAAUGCCACGGUGAAUACGUUCCCGGGCCUUGUACACACCGCCCGUCACACCAUGGGAGUGGGCUGCAAAAGAAGUGGGUAGUUUAACCUUCGGGAGGACGCUCACCACUUUGUGGUUCAUGACUGGGGUGAAGUCGUAACAAGGUAACCG
rnacentral:rRNA from 1 species